AAGGAUUUAAGUUAAACAAACUAGCAACCUUCAAAGUUGCCAUUAAAGGCUUACCCCUUUAAGCCUUA
rnacentral:tRNA from 1 species